rnacentral:rRNA from 1 species
AUGGAGCCGACCUUGAAAUACCACCCUUUAAUGUUUGAUGUUCUAACGUUGACCCGUAAUCCGGGUUGCGGACAGUGUCUGGUGGGUAGUUUGACUGGGGCGGUCUCCUCCUAAAGAGUAACGGAGGAGCACGAAGGUUGGCUAAUCCUGGUCGGACAUCAGGAGGUUAGUGCAAUGGCAUAAGCCAGCUUGACUGCGAGCGUGACGGCGCGAGCAGGUGCGAAAGCAGGUCAUAGUGAUCCGGUGGUUCUGAAUGGAAGGGCCAUCGCUCAACGGAUAAAAGGUACUCCGGGGAUAACAGGCUGAUACCGCCCAAGAGUUCAUAUCGACGGCGGUGUUUGGCACCUCGAUGUCGGCUCAUCACAUCCUGGGGCUGAAGUAGGUCCCAAGGGUAUGGCUGUUCGCCAUUUAAAGUGGUACGCGAGCUGGGUUUAGAACGUCGUGAGACAGUUCGGUCCCUAUCUGCCGUGGGCGCUGGAGAACUGAGGGGGGCUGCUCCUAGUACGAGAGGACCGGAGUGGACGCAUCACUGGUGUUCGGGUUGUCAUGCCAAUGGCACUGCCCGGUAGCUAAAUGCGGAAGAGAUAAGUGCUGAAAGCAUCUAAGCACGAAACUUGCCCCGAGAUGAGUUCUCCCUGACUCCUUGAGAGUCCUGAAGGAACGUUGAAGACGACGACGUUGAUAGGCCGGGUGUGUAAGCGCAGCGAUGCGUUGAGCUAACCGGUACUAAUGAACCGUGAGGCUUAAC